GACGAACGCUGGCGGCGUGCCUAAUACAUGCAAGUAGAACGCACAGUUUAUACCGUAGCUUGCUACACCAUAGACUGUGAGUUGCGAACGGGUGAGUAACGCGUAGGUAACCUGCCUGGUAGCGGGUGAUAACUAUUGGAAACGAUAGCUAAUACCGCAUAAUAUUAAUUAUUGCAUGAUAAUUAAUUGAAAGGUGCAAUUGCACCACUACCAGAUGGACCUGCGUUGUAUUAGCUAGUAGGUGAGGUAACGGCUCACCUAGGCGACGAUACAUAGCCGACCUGAGAGGGUGAUCGGCCACACUGGGACUGAGACACGGCCCAGACUCCUACGGGAGGCAGCAGUAGGGAAUCUUCGGCAAUGGACGAAAGUCUGACCGAGCAACGCCGCGUGAGUGAAGAAGGUUGUCGGAUCGUAAAGCUCUGUUGUAAGAGAAGAACGGGUGUGAGAGUGGAAAGUUCACACUGUGACGGUAUCUUACCAGAAAGGGACGGCUAACUACGUG
rnacentral:rRNA from 1 species